UUUAAAAUUGGAACGCAGUCAGCCGACGUUAGAAAUUCGGAACACACUCCUGGCCUGCCGAGCCGUCACCAGCUGUGGAGAGAUUUGAUCGACGACGUCUGUCAAGCAUUUAUGAAACUUUUAUUUUCACUUAUUUGUAGAAAUAAUCAUAGAUUGGGAAUAUUGACAUUAAAUGUCGUUUCUUUAUUCUAGAGCAACACAGCUGUCCUUAUUCCUAUAAAUAUCAUUACA
rnacentral:lncRNA from 1 species